rnacentral:tRNA from 1 species
GCGGGUAUCGUAUAAUGGCUAUUACCACGGCCUUCCAAGCCGUUGACAGGGGUUCGAUCCCCCUUACCCGCUCCA